AGCGGUGAUGUACCAGUCCAGUCUGUGCUACUACUCCAGCAGGGCAGCAGCUCUGCUUCGCACAAGCGCAUCAGGAGGAGCACAGGGAUUCCCCGCAGCUUCCUGUUGGAGGUGGACGACCCAAACCGAAAGGGAGUCAUGAUGGACGGCAGCGGCAAAUACGUCAUUCCCAUCAUAGACGCUGAGGCCUAUGCUGCUGAGAAGAAAAAGAGGCCGUCCUUCUCCUGCCAGACCAAGCCGCUGUCCUCCUCUUCCUCAGCUGGUGCAGCAUCUUCAGUCCAGGACGCCAGAGGGAAACGUUCCCGCUCCCCAUCUCCACCAGAGACGCACGGAGACCAGAAGAGACCACGUCACUGAGAGACCUUCACCCAAGAGACCUGGAGCCGACGUGAGCACAGUGUAUAUAUUGUACAUAGUUUAUGAAUAAAACUGAAUAAAGAUUAUAGCAGCA